GCUUCAGCCACGAGAAUUUCAGCUCCACGGGAACAAGUUUUUCAUGUCUUUUAUUUCCUGCGUAUAACAGUGUAACUAUAUUAGCGGGCCUAUCCCUAAGGGAAUUUACAGGACCGCUGAAAGCUGGCCUUGACAGGGCUCACUUGCGGAAGAGGAAUGAAUCCUUCCAAACUCCGAUCUUGCAGGACACCGUCCCCCCCUGGCCUGCAGCUGGUGUAACAGGGAUCAUUCCCUGAAAUAGCAGGAUCCUGCCAACAGCAGGACAUCAGUAAGAUUGGUUAUAGGACCCAAAGGCCGGCGCGGACCACGUCCAAUUAGAUCAUCCCUGGCUAAGAACCAGCACGAAUACAAGGAUCCAUUACAGGUGUAGGCGCGGAACUGGGCUGAACUCCGCCCUGAGCGUCCACGUCCAAGCUGCACCCGAGGUUAGCGGCUGGUGACGUAGCACGGGCCCCUCUCGCCCCGGCCGUGCUGCGCAGGCGCCGUACUCCCCAGCGGCGGCCCCCAGCUUGACCGUUGCCGCUUCGGUUUCCCGGCGCCUGCGUGGCUCGGGGUCUCUGGUCGCCGGUUGGGCAGCCGUUGCGGGGCCGGCGGCAGAGGUGAAGUGAGGGCCCGGGCGGGGCUCCCGGGAGCCAUGGCCUGCUCUAUUGUCCAGUUCUGCUCCUUCCAGGACCUCCAGGCCGCCCGGGACUUCCUCUUCCCGGGCCUGCGGGAGGGGAGCCCCAGCGGCGCCGCGCGCGGGGACCCCGGUAUAUCAACAGACUAGAAGAUGAUGGAUGUGGAGCAUGGGAAGAAACUGAACCCCAGGAACCUGUUAUUUUCAUCUACAGUCCCUGUGACCUGGACCUGCCCCCUGGCUGCAGCUGCCACAUGAUGAUUGCUUUGAACUCCCUACCUGUUCAGCUGUUGACCACCUGUGGAAUGGGAAAACUAUGGAUUUAAUCUUCAUAGGACUUUGAACCUAGCUGAAUCCUCUGGCUUGAGGAUUAUCAUGAUUUUCUUGCUGUUGCUAUUCUGUUAUUAGUCUUGUUACAAUGCUCCAGUUUUCUCGCACAGGGGCUAUUGCGGAAGAUGGUGAACGAGAAGAUUGUGAGGCGAGAGUUCUGGAGCAGUGGGUGUGUGGGUAAAAUUGCAGUAUUUCCAGAAUCUCUCACCUGGCCUUAGUGCAUCUCCAAAUCAAUAGGUGUUUCCAAGGGAUGGAGAAAAAUAGACCAUCUCCAUAUUGAUAGGUAAUUACAAGGGUGAGCAGGGCAUAUCUGGAUCAGCCAGGUCAUGAGAGAAAUGGGAGAGCAGAAGUGGACAACUGUAAGCAAUAAACAGGUUUCUCCGACA